rnacentral:rRNA from 1 species
CGGCGAGUGAAGCGGCAACAGCUCAAAUUUGAAAUCUGGCCUUCGGGUCCGAGUUGUAAUUUGUAGAGGAUGCUUUUGGCGCGGUGCCUUCCGAGUUCCCUGGAACGGGACGCCUUAGAGGGUGAGAGCCCCGUACGGUUGGACACCAAGCCUCUGUAAAGCUCCUUCAACGAGUCGAGUAGUUUGGGAAUGCUGCUCUAAAUGGGAGGUAAAUUUCUUCUAAAGCUAAAUAUUGGCCAGAGACCGAUAGCGCACAAGUAGAGUGAUCGAAAGAUGAAAAGCACUUUGAAAAGAGGGUUAAAUAGCACGUGAAAUUGUUGAAAGGGAAGCGUUUGCGACCAGACCUUUUCCUGGCGGAUCAUCCGGUGUUCUCACCGGUGCACUUCGCCAGGUUUAGGCCAGCAUCGGUUCUCGCAGGGGGAUAAAAGAUUGGGGAACGUGGCUCCUUUUGGAGUGUUAUAGACCCUUUCAUAAUACCCUUGUGGGGACCGAGGACCGCGCUUCGGCAAGGAUGCUGGCGUAAUGGUCGUCAACGACCCGUCUUGAAACACGGACCAAGGAGUCGAACAGUUGUGCGAGUGUUUGGGUGUUAAACCCUCACGCGUAAUGAAAGUGAACGGAGGUGAGAGCCCGCAAGGGCGCAUCAUCGACCGAUCCUGAUGUCUUCGGAUGGAUUUGAGUAAGAGCAUCACUGUUCGGACCCGAAAGAUGGUGAACUAUGCGUGGAUAGGGUGAAGCCAGAGGAAACUCUGGUGGAGGCUCGCAGCGGUUCUGACGUGCAAAUCGAUCGUCAAAUCUGCGCAUGGGGGCGAAAG